AUUGAACGCUGGCGGCAGGCCUAACACAUGCAAGUCGAGCGAGCGGCGGACGGGUGAGUAAUGUAUGGGAAUCUGCCCGAUGGAGGGGGAUAACUACUGGAAACGGUCGCUAAUACCGCAUACCAUCGGAUGUACCCAUAUGGGAUUAGCUAGUAGGUGGGGUAAAGGCUCACCUAGGCGACGAUCCCUAGCUGGUUUGAGAGGAUGACCAGCCACACUGGAACUGAGACACGGUCCAGACUCCUACGGGAGGCAGCAGUGGGGAAUAUUGCACAAUGGGCGCAAGCCUGAUGCAGCCAUGCCGCGUGUAUGAAGAAGGCCUUAGGGUUGUAAAGUACUUUCAGCGGGGAGGCGUUACCCGCAGAAGAAGCACCGGCUAACUCCGUGCCAGCAGCCGCGGUAAUAC
rnacentral:rRNA from 1 species